UACGUAGGGUGCAAGCGUUGUCCGGAAUUAUUGGGCGUAAAGAGCUCGUAGGCGGUGUGUCACGUCGGCCGUGAAACCUGCAGCUUAACUGUGGGCGUGCGGUCGAUACGGGCAUCACUGGAGGUUCGGCAGGGGAGACUGGAAUUCCGUGGUGUAGCGGUGAAAUGCGCAGAUAGUCAGGAGGAACACCGGUGGCGAAGGCGGUUCUC
rnacentral:rRNA from 1 species